ACAGUGGUGGUUCAGGGGUAGAACUCUCGCCUUCCAUGUGGGAGACCCUAGUUCAAUUCCUGGCCAGUGCA
rnacentral:tRNA from 1 species